AUAAAUUUCCCUUUACUUGUUUAUAGACGAAAAUAAAGAAUAAGUUUUGAGCGAAAAAAAGAGAGCCUAGAACAGCUCUCAAGGAGCAACCAUCUUCUCCAUCUAUCCACGAUGGCUCUGAUCUACUCCUCCACCGUCUCCGCCGCUAUGGCUGAACCAUCUCCCCCAAUCUCCUCCUCCCCCUCAGCCACCUCCUCCCUCCACCUCCGCUUCCUCCGACCCAGCUCACCCAAACCCUAAAUCACCUUCGAUCGAACCUUCAUGCCUCUCUUUCUUAUGAAACUCGAAUUGAAGAUUCGUUCUCUUCGUGGUCUCAACAAGCCUAAGUAUAUUCAAUGCGGAAACGUCGCUCUAGGUUUGGAUUUGGGGGUGAAUCUUUUCUCUUUUUCAUGUUUUUUGCCGAAAGACCACUCAUUGAUGUUCUGUACACUUGAGGAUAUCAGAGAAUUACGGGAAAUGUAACCAAGUGAAUACCAGAUAUUCACAAAGCCAUUGAUAAUGUGUAUAAAGGAAGGAAGAUGAAGACUAUCGAGUAUUUGGCCUGCAAGAGUGUCGACAAGUCGCAGAAGAGCAAGGGUUUUCAUGAGUGACUUGGAUGUUGAGAAUUUUGGUAACUAUGCUCUUCUUUUCAUGCCAAUUACUCUCACUCUUCUUUAAAAAAUGCAGCUUCUUUUCAUGGUCUCUAGUUAAGUAGUGUUCGCUGUUAUCGUCUCAGAUUCAGCUGUGGUAGGUCGUGCUACAAAAGGAGCUUGAUGAGUAUGAAAAGGAAAUGUCACUCGUUGAGGCCAUAACAGACAAAACAAGUCAAUUCAAGUUCUUGCUCGAUAUCCUUAAUUUCGCUAGCUAGUGAAGCAUGAUUUAUAUACUGAAAAUUACAGUUGCAGUAAUCAUUUAUCACAUUUUCACCUAUGAUCGAGUUCUGUUCUUUUUGAGACGGUAUGUACUUUGCAGCCAGCCAUUCUCUUGCUAGGAUAUAAAAGGAAGCCAGUGCUUGUACUUUUCAUUUUGACUUGCCAUUCUUUUAAAAGAAUAGUUUCCUUGCCAAAUUUCAAGCACAUUUUGUUGGAACAGAUAUUGGCUUCACUUGGGGAGGAGCUAGAUCUCAGACAACCAACGACAAAGAAGAGAACCAAACUGCAGAGGAUAUGGAGAAGACAGUUAUGUGAAGACGUCAAACUAUUUUUUUGGAGGGAGAGAAAGAGCAAACCAAUGGAGUUCUUCGUUUAGUCCAUAUGAAUUGUAGUACUUAUGAUGUUGUUUAAGACUUUGUUUUAACAAAUGGUGUUGAAUGCUAAACUAUGUAUUUUUUGAUGAUCUAUGGAAAGAAACAUGCUUUUAACAAA